rnacentral:rRNA from 1 species
UACUGAGGUGGCAAGCGUUGCUCGGAAUCACUGGGCGUAAAGGGCGCGUAGGCGGGGAGGUAAGUCGGGUGUGAAAUCCCUCGGCCCAACUGAGGAACUGCGCCCGAGACUGCUUCUCUUGAGUCCCGGAGAGGAAGAUGGAAUUCCCGGUGUAGCGGUGAAAUGUGUAGAGAUCGGGAGGAACACCGGUGGCGAAGGCGGUCUUCUGGACGGUGACUGACGCUGAGGCGCGAAAGCGUGGGGAGCAAACGGG